rnacentral:rRNA from 1 species
UGGGGAAUUUUGGACAAUGGGCGAAAGCCUGAUCCAGCAAUGCCGCGUGUGUGAAGAAGGCCUUCGGGUUGUAAAGCACUUUUGUCCGGAAAGAAAUGGCUCUGGUUAAUACCUGGGGUCGAUGACGGUACCGGAAGAAUAAGGACCGGCUAACUACGUGCCAGCAGCCGCGGUAAUACGUAGGGUUCAAGCGUUAAUCGGAAUUACUGGGCGUAAAGCGUGCGCAGGCGGUUGUGCAAGACCGAUGUGAAAUCCCCGAGCUUAACUUGGGAAUUGCAUUGGUGACUGCACGGCUAGAGUGUGUCAGAGGGGGGUAGAAUUCCACGUGUAGCAGUGAAAUGCGUAGAGAUGUGGAGGAAUACCGAUGGCGAAGGCAGCCCCCUGGGAUAACACUGACGCUCAUGCACGAAAGCGUGGGGAGCAAACAGG